GGCGGCCCCGGCGCGUCCUCCGCUCGCCGCCCCCGCCUUCCAGUUGGUGCGGUCCAGGGCGAGCACAUCAUGGCGAUUGAAGGUGGAGAAAGAACCUGUGGAGUACAUGAACUCAUCUGUAUUCGAAAAGUAUCUCCAGAGGCAGUUGGAUUUUUGUCAGCUGUCGGGGUGUUUAUUAUCGUGAUGCUGCUCCUUUUUCUCUAUAUUAAUAAGAAGUUCUGUUUUGAAAAUGUUGGCGGGUU